rnacentral:rRNA from 1 species
GACGAACGCUGGCGGCGUGCCUAAUACAUGCAAGUCGAACGAAGCUUUUUUAACUGGUGCUUGCACCGACUUAAACAACUGAGUGGCGAACGGGUGAGUAACACGUGGGUAACCUGCCCCAAAGCGGGGGAUAACAUUUGGAAACAGAUGCUAAUACCGCAUAACCACAGAAACCACAUGGUUUCUGUGUCAAAGAUGGUUUCGGCUAUCACUUUGGGAUGGACCCGCGGCGUAUUAGCUAGUUGGUAAGGUAAUGGCUUACCAAGGCAAUGAUACGUAGCCGAACUGAGAGGUUGAUCGGCCACAUUGGGACUGAGACACAGCCCAAACUCCUACGGGAGGCAGCAGUAGGGAACCUUCCACAAUGGACGAAAGUCUGAUGGAGCAACGCCGCGUGAGUGAAGAAGGUUUUCGGAUCGUAAAACUCUGUUGUCAGAGAAGAACGUGUGCGAGAGUAACUGUUCGUGCAGUGACGGUAUCUGGCCAGAAAGCCACGGCUAACUACGUGCCAGCCGCCGCCGUAA